rnacentral:misc_RNA from 1 species
UAAAAAAAAAAAAAAGUACCAUAGGAUAGCAAAACAAAGAAAAUGAAAGAUAAAACCCCAACAAAAUAAUAAACAACAACACAAUCACUCUCCGCAACUACAAACAACCUAAGAGUUCAAGUUCAAGUUCAAAUUCAAGAAGGGAUAUAUCUCCAGACAAAAGAGGCUUGUACUGGAAACAUGAAAUAGUAUCAGCAGUAGUACAAUGUUUUAAUUGCCCUUCUUUCAUAGCCCCAUCUCAAAGACUUGCCUAACAGCAGACCCGAGUUCACUUUUAGAAAC